GAGCAGUUGUCCCCCAGCAACCCCCCACAGAGGAGGAAACAGAAGAGGGUGCGCUUCCUGGAAGACAAUCCCACCUUCUUGUCCAUCGAGUGGUGGAAUAAGAAACAGAGGAAGAGGAGGUGGGAGAAAAGACGGCAGGAGAUGAAGAAGGCAAUGCACUUGAGGAGGGUAAUGAUACGCCGGCAGAAGGAGCAGAUGUUGAAGAGUGGGGAGAAGGCAGAGGGACAAUGGCAGAGGAAGCAGAGCGCCUCUCAGUUGGCAGAGGAAGGAGCAGCACCAGGCGCAGAGCAGGAGAAGCGGUGAGUGUGGGGGAGACCCC